GAAAGAUUCUAUGCUCUAGAGUUAGAGGAUAGUUCACAAAAUACUACGUUGUUGCUUGGUGAGUUGUAUCGGGACUCACAAGGCAUGCUCACUAGCGACUUAAUGUGCUAAAUGUCAAUAGGUCUCAAAGCUUCUUGUCUGCGUAAAUCUGUUUCUGUUUGAAAUAAAUCAAUAUUGCAUGCACAGAUGUUGCAUACCACAGCUUCAUGUUGACAAUCCGUACAGUUAGUUGUUUGACGACAAGGCCAGUUGACAAGACAGUGUGGAUGUGUUUUUCUACACAAAACGUUAGGGCAUUCCACUAUACCCUUUAGCUUUUGCAUAAGCCAUUUCCUUCUUUCGGCUUGGAUAUUAAUAGUUACUCCAGAGUAAAUCUGUCUACUACUAUUGUUUGACAAGUCAGAGGUUACUGCUAUUGAGAUGUCAUUAACAUUUGUUACAGAUUCUUGUCUGGAAAUGUCUGUUUCAGUUUGAAACAUUUCAAUAGCACGCACACACAUUGUGCAUAGAGCGGCUUGAUAUUUACAAUCCGUACAGUUAGUAAUGUGACGACAAGGCCAAUUGACUAGGCAUUGUGGAUUAGCCUUUCUACACAAAGUGUUAGGACACUCUGUUAUAUCCUUAAGUUUGUUAAUCAGCCGUCUUUUUCUUUCAGCUUGAAUAUUAAUAGUUAAUCCAGAAUACAUUCUUUCUAAAUGGUGUUUGACUAUUCAGAUGCAAGUAAACAACUCAAGUAUAUUCAGUCCUAUUUAUAUACACUGUCUACCUUAAAACAGAAUAGUCAAAUAUGGUGACAAUCGAUAUACAGUAAUCGAACAAAAUACAUCUGCUGCUGAAAAUUUGCGUUCUUUAGCUGGAUGGCUAUUACGAAUUCAGAAAUCAAUGUUACUCGUAUCGACCUAGCUUUUAAAUGGUUGGACGACAUGUUUGGGGAAAUUUUAGUAACAGGCGAAAAUAUUUUCAACUGGGUACGCUGAUAUCGUUAUACGGACUUUGGAUUUGCAAUGAAGAUGUUUAUGUUUGCUGAUUUUAGUGUUGGAUACAUAACAUUCAUCAUUUCUGUAAUUCUACAGUAUUGGAUUUACAAUUAGCCUAGUAGGGUCAUGUGGCGCAGUGGUGCAGAGAGCUUGGCUAGAGAGAGACUUUGCAGCAUCUUAACUACGUGUGCCUUCUACGACAUUGGUACAUUCAAUCUCUAUUGCUCAAUCAGUUUCUAUGUGGAAACAUCUGCAGCUGAUGCUGAAUCCGUAGAAAUCUGAUAGCCACUAUCAAUUUGGUAAGACACCAGAUGGCGACACAUGUUUAUCGAAUAUGUUCAAUGUGUAUGACAAUUACUUGUCACUUUGAUUCGUUAAAGUGGAUGAAAAA